CUAAGGUUAAAAAAAUCAAAGGAAUUAAGGGCGCACAGUGGAUGCCUUGGCACUAAGAGCCGAUGAAGGACG
rnacentral:rRNA from 1 species